CUUGGGAACGACCAUGGAGAUCCACCCGAAGGUUGGAUCCACGCGGGACGGCUUUGAGGAGGAGGAAGAUUUUCCCGCAGCCCUUACUAGCACUGAGGGCCGCUGUGGGUGAUGCGGCACGUGCCGCGGUGGAUCGUGCUGGGGGUUUGGAGCUGGGUCAUCCCCCCAUCUCCCAAAAUUUCCAGGUGGGAACCUCAGGUGGAUCCUACACCUUGGUGGGCGGGGCUGAUGGAACCACCGCCUCCUCCCAAAUUUUGGGGUCCUGAGAGACUCAUGGAGGAGGUUUUUUUGGGAUAGGGUGGCACACCUGGUGGAGAACCC
rnacentral:lncRNA from 12 species